ensembl:lncRNA
CCUGGGUCAGAGAGACUGUCAGCUUCUCUUGGCUUGAAAUCCCUUGUGCUGAGCAGAAUUGCUCCAAGCCGGCAGGCAAAGGGAAGGAGGAGCUCAGGUUCUGCCUGGGAAGGAGGAAGGGAAAUCAGAAGCAGCACAGCAGAAAGGAGCCAGCGCCCAGAUGGGAGAGCGGGACAGAGCACUGAUGGAUGCUGCAGGGCUGCCACACCAACCAUGUGCCACUGCCAAGGUCCACCGCAGCCUCAACCCAACCCGGACCCAAAUGGUGAAGGUUUGGCUCUGUCCAGCAUGCGAUCUGUCACUCCCCAUCCAUAUUCCUUUGCGUUAAGUGACGUGUUGCAGGGGCUCACAGGGUUGAAGGGUUACAGACCGCACAUCUCACUUCACAGCCAGCAAUGGGCAGCAUCACUCCUUCAUCCAAGCUGCACUUUCAGGCCACGAUUUCUCCACUGGGAGGAGUGGUGGGGAAUGGGGAUUUUGCUCCCCUCAGGCCUUGGUCCCUCUGCUUGGCUCUGCACAGCAGUGAAUAGCAGCAGUGAGCAUGUACUGCAGGAAGCAGCUCCUUUGCAGGCUUCCUCCGCUGCCUCUUAUAUAUCAAACUGAAAUGUAAUUAUCUUCACGGUGCGGGGUGUAAAUCAGGGCGUGUGUCAAGGCGAUUUCCUUCAGGGUUUUAUUAUAUUGUGUAAUAAUAUUUGACACAGGGCUUAAAGGUGCUGUUACCUGCCUAAUCGCAUGAAACAAUUUCAUGUGCAAACAGCUGGUAAGUGUAAAACUACCAUCAACCAGCUCCGGGGGAUUCUCUGCUUCACUCCUCUAGAGAUCUUCUUGGAAAACACUCCGACAGAGAACGCAGACAGGGAGAAGCUGCUGGGGUCACUCACCCCAGCAAAGCCACGUGCACUGAGAGAGAGAAGCAAAGGAAGGAUGUGAGCAUCCCCAGCACAAACGCAGGACUUGGAGUCUGCCUUUGAGAGAGAGUGAAGGAGCGAGCGAGAUGGCAGUCCUGGAACAAUAGGGGUUAUUUAUAAGGUUGGUUGUUCUUGUGUGCAUUGCAGAUCAUAGCCAAGAGGCAUCUGCCUGAGGUCUGAAUUAGUCACAGCGGGGUUGGGAGGGGAGGUGGGCAGCUGGCUGAAAUCACAAGCCUCCCAGUCACUGGUUUUUCUCUCCUCGGGGUUGCUGGCAUUGUCAGCAAUGGUUUAACCUACUUACAACAAUAAUCCCUGUAAUAAAGGCAUUUUUUAAAUA